ACUCCUACGGGAGGCAGCAGUGGGGAAUAUUGCACAAUGGGCGCAAGCCUGAUGCAGCCAUGCCGCGUGUAUGAAGAAGGCCUUCGGGUUGUAAAGCACUUUCAGCAGUGAGGAAGGCGGAGUCGUUAAUAGCGGCCUCGUUUGACGUUAGCUGCAGAAGAAGCACCGGCUAACUCCGUGCCAGCAGCCGCGGUAAUACGGAGGGUGCGAGCGUUAAUCGGAAUUACUGGGCGUAAAGCGCAUGCAGGUGGUUUGUUAAGUCAGAUGUGAAAGCCCGGGGCUCAACCUCGGAAUAGCAUUUGAAACUGGCAGACUAGAGUACUGUAGAGGGGGUAGAAUUUCAGGUGUAGCGGUGAAAUGCGUAGAGAUCUGAAGGAAUACCGGUGGACGAAGGCGGCCCCCUGGACAGAUACUGACACUCAGAUGCGAAAGCGUGGGGAGCAAACAGGAUUAGAUACCCUGGUAGGAUAGCG
rnacentral:rRNA from 1 species